GGUUCCAUGGUGUAGUGGUUUAGCACUCUGGACUUUGAAUCUAGUGACCUGGAUUCGAAUCCCGAUGGGACCU